GGGGUUGUGGCUCAGUGGUAGAGUGCUCGCCUAGUAUGUGUGGGGCCCUGGGUUUGAUCCUCAGCACCA
rnacentral:tRNA from 1 species